rnacentral:rRNA from 1 species
AGCAGCCGCGGUAAUUCCAGCUCCAAUAGCGUAUAUUAAAGUUGUUGCAGUUAAAAAGCUCGUAGUUGAACCUUAGGCCCGUGCGGGUGGUCCGUCCUCUGGGCGAGCACUGCGUCGUCGCGGGUCUCACCUUCUGGCGAGCGUGGAUGCCAUUCACUUGGUGUCCGCGGGAACCAGGACCUUUACCUUGAAAAAAUUAGAGUGCUCAAAGCGGGCUCGUACGCUUGAAUACAUUAGCAUGGAAUAAUGAAAUAGGACGACGGUUCUAUUUUGUUGGUUUCCGGGACAGUCGUAAUGAUUAAUAGGGAUAGUUGGGGGCAUUCGUAUUCAAUUGUCAGAGGUGAAAUUCUUGGAUUUAUUGAAGACGAACUACUGCGAAAGCAUUUGCCAAGGAUGUUUUCAUUAAUCAAGAACGAAAGUUGGGGGAUCGAAGACGAUCAGAUACCGUCGUAGUCUCAACCAUAAACUAUGCCGACUGGGAAUCGGGCGAUGUUACUCUUUUGACUCGCUCGGCGCCCC